CUGGGCACAAGAGUAGAGGAGGAGGAGAAGAGUGAAUGAGCUGCUACCGGCCUGGCUUGUGGCACAGACAGUUUGAUCCAGGUGUUUAAAGUGCAUCUGGAGGUCUGUCUUCUCAUGCACUCCAGUAGCCUGUGUGUGUGUUGGAGCAGUAUGGAAGUAAAGCGAUGCGUACAGGGUCCCACAGUCUCCAGAGUAAGACUCAGUGAUUUAGCUUGGACUCCCCCGGAUCUUGUCUCAUUAAUCACUGAACAUAUUCCAGUUGAAAAAGAACAGGUAUUUUGGAAGGUGCUGUUGGUUUUGCUAAGUGAUGAGGAAUAUGCCAAGGAUGACCACAGCAGGUGGCACGUGGUGCGCUGUCUGACUGUGAGCUCGAUACUACUGAAAUGCAGAAAGAUUUGCUUGGAACAAGUUUCUCAUCCUUCCCCCUCGAGUGAGGAGUGAAGAUGUUUCAGAAGACGAUAUUUAUUGGCUUUCAGCUUUACUACAGUUGAAACAGUUGCUUCAGGCCAAAUCUUUCUGUCCAUUAGUUCCCCUGGUGGUCCUUGUCCCUGGUCAGGAAGAGGAGGCCACCGAGAAAGAAGUAGAAGAAGGUUUACUGCUGCAGGACUUGAAUUCAGCCCAGCUUAUUUUAGAGUACACCAUUGUUGAGCUUCCAGGUUCCAUCAAUGACUUACAGGGCACCAGAAGGAUCACUGAGACUGUUGGCUGGCUGGCUUCCCAGUACCCUAAUUCCCUUGAGCAUUACAGUCAGACCCUUCAGGAGUAUGUUGAGGAUGGGAUUGAUCAUGAAUUUGGCAAGCGCUUCUACGGUGACUGGAAAGAGAGGCGUUCAGCUGACUUGCUGUCUCAGGAGCCUGGGGUCAUCAUUGAGCUGUACAAAGUGUGCUUCAGUUUCUUUCUGAUGUGGCAUCCUUGGAGCAUUUUUGUGACUUGUCUUGGCAUAUUACUGAGUUUUCAGAGCCUGGGGGUAACAAGCUGUUGCUCCACUUGCAGUGGAACAUGCCUGAUCGUCUGGCCUUGCUGAAAAAUCCUGUGCUGUUCUUCCAGAUCCUGUACCUAGAUCUGCCUCCAUUAGGUGGUACAUGUUCUGUGCUGCAGCAGGUGGCACAUCAUUCCCUCAGAUGUGCCUGCACUGUGUUAACUGUCUGGCUCUAAUGUGGGUAGUUUGGCUCUGUCACAAAUUCUUUCAAUUUGAUUUGGUUUUAAUCCAUAGCUCCUUGGCAUCCUGUUUGCCACAUGAUUUUCUAGUAUGUGUCUCAGAUUGCUAGUUCGUCCAGUACUCGACCACUGAUCCUGUCUCAAGUGGAGAAUCUGCUCAGCAAAACUUACCAGAAUUGGGAGAACAAGACAUCUGGGAACUCUGAUGAAGAUGGACUUUCUGUUGAUGACAUCCCUUGGGAUGAUAUCUUGGCAGUCUGCAUUGAUCACAGACUGAAAGACUGGAAACCACCCAAACUGCCGAUUGCUCCAGGUAU